rnacentral:lncRNA from 1 species
GAGAAUAUCCAUAAAAUAUGCUAUAUAAUUGUGUAAACAUUUUUUACACUUACCAAGGUUUAUCUUAUUUUUCUUUCUUCAGAAUCUACCGUAACUAUGGCUUUUGACAGUGAAUAAUUCUAUCAUGAUACACCCACAGUUUUGGCCAUUUUUGGACCAUCUAUGAAACUAUGUUUUGGUUUUAAGAUUAAGCAUAAUUUUUCCUUAGUUCGAAGUUCUCGAUGUCCCAAAUCAUUUUCUUUCGAGGGUAAGAUGAUUCCACUUGACCAAUAAAAACAUUGAUAAAGCAUAUCUUUUACUAAAAUAAUUUCCAUUAUUUUUGAAGGUUUCUUUAAUUUGACAUUACAAUACAUUCAUAUUCUCUCCCUUUUUCUUUCUUAUCACAACAAUAUUCCAUUUUUCACUUUCUUUACCCUCAUAUAUUCUCUAUAUAUUCUAAGUGUCUAUGUAGGUAUGGAGGGUGAAAAAUAUGCCAACAUAAUCAUGGAGUAAGGUGGAAAAAUAAAGUGGCGCUCUUCAAGGAAAAGGGAUGUCAUAUCUUUUUUUGUUAAGGAAAAGGGUUGCUUAUUCUUGCCAAGGAAAAAAAGGCAUCGAAUCACUUGCAAGCAAGGAAAGGAAGAUAAUUUUUGAUCUAUUAACCUAUUGGGGGUAAGUAAGGAUCAUAAGAGCAUUGAAUACUUGUGGCUAGCUAGGAGGUAAUGUUGUGCCCAAAUAAUGUGUAUUUUGGUGUGUGCACACCAAAUAUUGUUCCCAAAUUAUUGUGACCAUAUAAACAGUACUUUCUUUAUAGGAAAAGCUAAUAUGUCUCGUAAUAAUGACACAAAUUAAU